GGGCCGCUAGCUCAGUUGGCAGAGCAGCUGACUCUUAAUCAGCGGGUCCGGAGUUCGAAUCUCCGGCGGCCCA
rnacentral:tRNA from 1 species